AUAACAUCAUGGAAUCAGAAUACUAGAACUGGAAGAGAUCAUAUAAUAUAUAGUCUAGUAGUUUUUCUGUUUGCUCCGUGCUUGGGGCAGGGAUGGGAGGAGGAGGAGCUUGGCAAGUUAUCUUCUCCUUCCGUGAAACAGAGCACUUUAAAGUGCUUACUUUCUUUAUCACUUACUUUCUCAUAUUGGCCUUCCAGGUAUAUGCUCGUAUGUCAGAAGUCUUAGGAAUAACAGAUGACAACCACGUUCUAGAAACAUUCAUGACAAAAAUAUAGAUGCUGUGAAAUUCAUGCUAAAAAACCACACGAGUGAACACUUCCCUUUUCUUGGCAUCAGUGACAAUCAUAGUCUCAGCGACUUCAGGUGUCGAACAACCUUCUACACAGCGCUCACUCGCCUUCUGAUGGUAGAUCUAGGUGAAGAUGAGGAUGAAUUUGAGAAUUUCAUGCUGCCUCUUACAGUUGCUUUUGAAACAGUAUUACAAAUAUUCAACAACAACUUUAAACAAGAAGAUGUAAAGCGUAUGUUGAUCGGGCUGGCAAGAGAUCUUCGAGGGAUUGCCUUUGCACUGAACACAAAGACCAGCUACACCAUGCUGUUUGAC
rnacentral:sRNA from 1 species